CGGGGUUAUUUUUUUCAAUCCUCCCUCUUUUAUUUCCACCCGGCGUGUUUUUUUAAUAACUAAAUGUUUUAGGCAUUAUAAAUUGGCUAAGGAAACUAAUAGCGAGCUUUGGUUUGGGUGUGGUGGAUUUUUUAUUUUUUCGAAGUUGAUAACAGGCCGCUUUGAUACUACAAUGCAACAUUAUUAUGUAUGUGGCACGAAUCUGCCGGAAUGUAAUAAAAGUUCGGCGGUAGACAAAUAUCGGAUUUAGACGACCUAUCUAAAUCUUCUCGCAGAUCUAAAACGUAUCUGGUAAAAUUCAAUAUAGAUAGAUAGA